UACAGAGGGUGCGAGCGUUAAUCGGAAUUACUGGGCGUAAAGCGUGCGUAGACGGCUAUCUAAGUCGGGUGUGAAAGCCCCGGGCUCAACCUGGGAAUUGCAUUCGAGACUGAAUAGCUAGGGUACGGUAGAGGGAAGCGGAAUUUCCGGUGUAGCGGUGAAAUGCGUAGAUAUCGGAAGGAACAUCAGUGGCGAAAGCGGCUUCCUGGACCAGUACCGACGUUCAGGC
rnacentral:rRNA from 1 species